rnacentral:rRNA from 1 species
UACGUAGGUCCCGAGCGUUGUCCGGAUUUAUCGGGCGUAAAGCGAGCGCAGGUGGUUUAUUAAGUCUGGUGUAAAAGGCAGUGGUUCAACCAUUGUAUGCAUUGGAAACUGGUAGACUUGAGUGCAGGAGAGGAGAGUGGAAUUCCAUGUGUAGCGGUGAAAUGCGUAGAUAUAUGGAGGAACACCGGUGGCGAAAGCGGCUCUCUGGCCUGUAACUGACACUGAGGCUCGAAAGCGUGGGGAGCAAACAGG